rnacentral:lncRNA from 1 species
UGUCAAUCUGUUCUGGUGGAUCACAUCUUUGUGUUGUUGGAAGUUGCAAGAACUUUUCUGAUAGAUUUCAGCAGAACUAAGAAUUACUUGAUUCUAUUGUUGACUUGAUCUCUGCUUUUUGAAACUUUGGACCAGUCUGCGGGUGAGAUGAGUCUUCUGCUUAUUAACACAAGUAUGAAAAAUAGCUCAUGUUCAAGAUCACAGCAUGCAUAGGAGUCCAAACCAUCUUGAGAUAUUGGACAAAGGAAUUAGAGGUCAGCUGGGCAGAAAAAUGUCAGUGUCUUAUGUCUACGCUGGAUAGAAGAAGAAUUAAGAGACUUAUUGAUUCGAGGAAGAUUUAGACCAGUCACUGAGGAGGAACUAGCAGGAAGAGAUUUUCAAGGCAGGUCCUUGGGCUGUGUGUGGCAAUUGGGCACGUACCUGUUGGAAAUGCUUCAGGCAGAGAGCAACCUGUCUGUAGAGCCCCGGUACAGCAGGGUGCUGGCCUGAAACCAAUGUUCUGUGGGACUGGAGCCAGAAACAGGAUCAGGGUUGCAGGAAGAACCCUGAAAAGAAAGGCUCUUCUUUCAGAAAGUGGAGCUCCAUGAGCUGUCGGCAUCCCAGGGGCAGAGCAGAGGCAGAUUUUGGCUGUGAAGUUGACCCAGCCAAUGCCACGCAGGACAAGGUGGCAUUGAGAAGGUCCACAGCAGCAGCAUGUGUGCUGGAGGGGAACCACAAGCCGUGAAGGAUAGGGCAAAAGUGCCCGCUUCAUAAAUACACAUAAACAAACAAAACAGCUCACCAGCAGACAAGUAAGUGGUCUCUGAUCCAGGCAAGCAUGAUUGUUUCUCCAAUUUCUUCCCUCUCUCCAUCCUCACCAGCUCUUCCAGUUGUUUUCAGCAGCGUUCUUGAAUGAAUAAGUCAGAAUAAAGACACACGGGAAAACCCAGCAAUAAGAAACCUGAAGAGUCGUGGAUGGAGCAAAUUAAAAGUUCUGCCCAAAAUUCAGUGCUUCAGUGACCAUGGUUUCUCCUCUGCGAAGGCCCUCCUGUUGCCUUAGAAAAUUAUCAUCCCGUUUACUUAAUUAGGCUGACUCCAAGCUUUAGGCAUCGGCCUGCCAAGAUGAUGCACACAGCGUAUGACACCUGUCAGUUGACUUCAAUGACUGCUCACCACUUCUUCGUGUUCUGCACCUCCCACAAGUCAGCUCCACAGAUGUGUCAGGAACGCUUCCUGAUGACUGCAUUGUAACAAAUGUGCAGGCGUAAGUCUCCUGGAUUUGCAGGAAGUUGUACAGAAUGGUCCAAUAGGUCAUCUUCAUCUCUGGCUUAUGUGGUAAUAAAGGAAUAAUAAAAACGAAGGUUGCAAAGCAUUCUUUCCAUGACUGAAUCAGCUGGCUUUUUUAUGGGCCAGUUAUUCACUGAGCAAUAAAUAUUCAUGGGCUUUUCAGCAAAGACAUGGUGCAUAAUUAGUCUUGAGCGC